AGUGAACGCUGGCGGUAGGCCUAACACAUGCAAGUCGAACGGCAGCACAGUAAGCGCUUGCUCUUACGGGUGGCGAGUGGCGGACGGGUGAGGAAUACAUCGGAAUCUACUUUUUCGUGGGGGAUAACGUAGGGAAACUUACGCUAAUACCGCAUACGACCAACGGGAGAAAGCAGGGGAUAUUCGGACCUUGCGCGUAUGAAUGAGCCGAUGUCGGAUUAGCUAGUUGGCGAGGUAAAGGCCCACCAAGGCGACGAUCCGUAGCUGGUCUGAGAGGAUGAUCAGCCACACUGGAACUGAGACACGGUCCAGACUCCUACGGGAGGCAGCAGUGGGGAAUCUUCGGCAAUGGGCGAAAGCCUGACGGAGCAAUACCGCGUGGGUGAUGAAGGCCUUCGGAUUGUAAAGCUCUUUUGUUAGGAAAGAAAAACAGUGUGUGUAACCCCGCACGUUCUGACGGUACCCAAUCAGUAAGCCCCGGCUAACUUCGUG
rnacentral:rRNA from 1 species